CUAGCUUCGAUGUACGAUCUAUAAAAUGAAAAGGCGGGUUACUCAUCAAUAAAUUUAUACACAUUUUACACACAUAAAAUGUACACAAAAUGACACAUUUGUUAAAUUUACUUGCAUUCAAUAUUUUGAACAUCGAAAAAAGAAAGGCAUUAUGUUUGUUAACCAUAUUGUUAUCAUUGUGUGAAAAAUCCACACGAAAAUCUGUAUUUUGGUUACAUAAAUCAAUCUUUAUUUAAAACCUGGUCUGUUAAUGGGUCGGAUGUAUAAAACCCGGUCUGUUAAAUGGUCUGUUAAGAGUUAUGAAUGGCAAUAAAAGUAUAAUUUUAUUGCUGUAUGGGGUGUUAUCGGAUCAAAUGAGUAGGCUCAGGACGAGCAGCUUACACAUACGAAAACAACACAUGAGCAAUGAAACAUAACAUAUAUACGGAAACAAC
rnacentral:lncRNA from 1 species